rnacentral:rRNA from 1 species
UACGUAGGGUGCAAGCGUUAAUCGGAAUUACUGGGCGUAAAGCGCACGUAGGCGGAUCGUUAAGUCAGGGGUGAAAUCCUGGAGCUCAACUCCAGAACUGCCUUUGAUACUGGCGAUCUCGAGUCCGGAAGAGGUGAGUGGAACUCCUAGUGUAGAGGUGGAAUUCGUAGAUAUUAGGAAGAACACCAGUGGCGAAGGCGGCUCACUGGUCCGGAACUGACGCUGAGGUGCGAAAGCGUGGGGAGCAAACAGGG